AGUAGGGAAUCUUCCACAAUGGACGCAAGUCUGAUGGAGCAACGCCGCGUGAGUGAAGAAGGUUUUCGGAUCGUAAAGCUCUGUUGUUGGUGAAGAAGGAUAGAGGCAGUAACUGGUCUUUAUUUGACGGUAAUCAACCAGAAAGUCACGGCUAACUACGUGCCAGCAGCCGCGGUAAUACGUAGGUGGCAAGCGUUGUCCGGAUUUAUUGGGCGUAAAGCGAGCGCAGGCGGAAUGAUAAGUCUGAUGUGAAAGCCCACGGCUCAACCGUGGAACUGCAUCGGAAACUGUCAUUCUUGAGUGCAGAAGAGGAGAGUGGAAUUCCAUGUGUAGCGGUGGAAUGCGUAGAUAUAUGGAAGAACACCAGUGGCGAAGGCGGCUCUCUGGUCUGCAACUGACGCUGAGGCUCGAAAGCAUGGGUAGCGAACAGGAUUAGAUACCCUGGUAGUCCAUGCCGUAAACGAUGAGCGCUAGGUGUUGGGGACUUUCCGGUCCUCAGUGCCGCAGCAAACGCAUUAAGCGCUCCGCCUGGGGAGUACGACCGCAAGGUUGAAACUCAAAGGAAUUGACGGGGGCCCGCACAAGCGGUGGAGCAUGUGGUUUAAUUCGAAGCAACGCGAAGAACCUUACCAGGUCUUGACAUCCUGUGCUACACCUAGAGAUAGGUGGUUCCCUUCGGGGACGCAGAGACAGGUGGUGCAUGGCUGUCGUCAGCUCGUGUCGUGAGAUGUUGGGUUAAGUCCCGCAACGAGCGCAACCCUUGUCUUUAGUUGCCAUCAUUAAGUUGGGCACUCUAAAGAGACUGCCGGUGACAAACCGGAGGAAGGUGGGGAUGACGUCAAGUCAUCAUGCCCCUUAUGACCUGGGCUACACACGUGCUACAAUGGGCAGUACAACGAGAAGCGAACCCGCGAGGGUAAGCGGAUCUCUUAAAGCUGUUCUCAGUUCGGACUGCAGGCUGCAACUCGCCUGCACGAAGCUGGAAUCGCUAGUAAUCGCGGAUCAGCACGCCGCGGUGAAUACGUUCCCGGGCCUUGUACACACCGCCCGUCACACCAUGGAAGUCUGCAAUGCCCAAAGUCGGUGGGAUAACCUUUAUAGGAGUCAGCCGCCUAAGGCAGGGCAGAUGACUGGGGUGAAGUCGUAACAAGGUAGCCGUAGGAGAACCUGCGGCUGGAUCACCUCCUUUCUAAGGAA
rnacentral:rRNA from 1 species